GUGGUCUCUAAGUAGGCCCAGCUUUGUUUGGUUCCUAGAGCAACUGAGCCUCAGAUAGACCUUUCCUUUCUGAAUAUUGUAAUAGUAUUAAAUGGGAAGCUCUAGGAGCAAACAAUAAUAGCAAGUGCAAGCUUCCAAUGUAAUGAUGUACAUUAUAUUUUAAUAUUUGGAUGAAGCUAAUGAUGUUUAAGCUUGCCAAAGUGGUAAGGCAUUUCACCAUAUGAAUGGAUUGUUUAUUCCCUACUGUUAUGUUAGGUACACAAGAGGUCAUCUUUUUCAGCAUUCAUUAACAUUAAUAUUAAAACUCUGAGUUCCUCUAAAAAAAAUCCCUAAUUGAAUGGAAAAGGUGCUUCGCAUUUCAAAAGAUCGUGUCAGGAACUGUAACUGGUCACGUUAUUCAUGAGUUUAGGAUUUUAUGAGCCAAAUAAUGAAAUUCCAAGCUCUUAUUAUGAGAGAAUACUAUUCUACAACCAUUUAGAGAUCAUGUCAUGGUUUUCCUAUAGCAUCAGCUCCUGAGACACUUUACACUAUUGACAGAAAUAUGAAAUGUUUCUUUGCAUAACAUAGACUAAGGGUAUUAUAACUUUUUUCCCCAUUUUAUUCAAGAAAGCAGUGGUGGAAUAUCUUUUUUUCCCCCCUGAAUAAUAUGCUCUGCAAUGCAAGUUUCAUCGUCUCCACACCUUGUUCGUGGCAUAACUGGGCACUAAAAGUGAAAAGUGACAUGGAAUCUGAAAAUUUCAGCUAUUUUGAAAGGAAUCCCAAGAAAGAGUGAGUAACAAGUAAUCAUUGCAUACGUUUUUCUAUGUUGCCUUUUUUGAGAUUUCUCUAACAAAGAUUUCUUAAUCUCAACACUUGACAUUUUGGUCUGGAUAAUCCUUGUUGUAAGGAUGGAUGUUCUGGGCAUUGUAGGAUGUAUCCUGGCAUCUGUUCACUAAAUGGCAAUAGCACCUCUCUCUCCAGUGUGACAAGCAAUGUCUCUAGAUAUUGCCAAGUGUUUCCUGUACUCAGGAUGAAGGUGUGGGCAGUUUGAGAGAAUUACCCUGGUUUGAGAACGACUACUGCAACACAAAAAGACAAGUUUCCUCAGGCUUCUGGCUGGUUUAUUCUAGACCUAGGUUAUUUAUAUAUCUAUUUAUUUAACUAUGAGGGAACCUCAUAGUUUUUAUCUAAUUAGGGUUAUGCUAUGAAGCUAUUAUCAUAGGAAUGGCAAUUGAGACUGUUAAUGCCCAGUUCACAUUCAUAGAGUACCUUCAUCCUGGAUACAUUACAAAAUAUUUAAAGCUGAAUACCCAUCAAUAGGAGAGCAGCCAAAACUGUCAUAUGGAAAGGGAAUGCAAUUACCCGAAGUGUAUUUCCAGAAGUCAGAACUAUGACCAGUAGUGCUAAUUACAGAGAUAUAUUUUGAUUGGUGAUAAGGAAGAUGGUUGUAAUGAUAGGCAGUGUCUAAAAAUGAAACAAGCAGCCAUUUCAGUAGAGUCAAUCUAUUCAAACAUUCUUAGGGAAACAUUUCAGGAAUAUUGAAGAGGGAAUUAAAGCACUGGUUGGAUCUGAGAUGUCU
rnacentral:lncRNA from 1 species